rnacentral:rRNA from 1 species
AGAGUUUGAUCAUGGCUCAGGAUGAACGCUGGCGGCGUGCCUAAUACAUGCAAGUAGAACGCUGAGGACUGGUGCUUGCACUGGUCUAAGGAGUUGCGAACGGGUGAGUAACGCGUAGGUAACCUACCUAUAAGACUGGGAUAACUUCGGGAAACCGGAGCUAAUACCGGAUAAUAUUUUGAACCGCAUGGUUCAAAAGUGAAAGACGGUCUUGCUGUCACUUAUAGAUGGAUCCGCGCUGCAUUAGCUAGUUGGUAAGGUAACGGCUUACCAAGGCAACGAUGCAUAGCCGACCUGAGAGGGUGAUCGGCCACACUGGAACUGAGACACGGUCCAGACUCCUACGGGAGGCAGCAGUAGGGAAUCUUCCGCAAUGGGCGAAAGCCUGACGGAGCAACGCCGCGUGAGUGAUGAAGGUCUUCGGAUCGUAAAACUCUGUUAUUAGGGAAGAACAUAUGUGUAAGUAACUGUGCACAUCUUGACGGUACCUAAUCAGAAAGCCACGGCUAACUACGUGCCAGCAGCCGCGGUAAUACGUAGGUGGCAGCGUUAUCCGGAAUUAUUGGGCGUAAAGCGCGCGUAGGCGGUUUUUUAAGUCUGAUGUGAAAGCCCACGGCUCAACCGUGGAGGGUCAUUGGAAACUGGAAAACUUGAGUGCAGAAGAGGAAAGUGGAAUUCCAUGUGUAGCGGUGAAAUGCGCAGAGAUAUGGAGGAACACCAGUGGCGAAGGCGACUUUCUGGUCUGUAACUGACGCUGAUGUGCGAAAGCGUGGGGAUCAAACGGGAUUAGAUACCC